UAAUACAGAGGGUGCAAGCGUUAAUCGGAAUUACUGGGCGUAAAGCGUGCGUAGACGGUUAUGUAAGUCAGGUGUGAAAGCCCCGGGCUCAACCUGGGAAUUGCAUUUGAGACUGCAUAGCUAGGGUGCGGAAGAGGGAAGCGGAAUUUCCGGUGUAGCGGUGAAAUGCGUAGAUAUCGGAAGGAACACCAGUGGCGAAAGCGGCUUCCUGGUC
rnacentral:rRNA from 1 species